GUCCUCGCUGGGAGACUGCACGGGGUCCCUUCCUCCUCCUCCCAACCCCUAGGUCUGUUUACAUUUACUGCCCUCGAAUGGCAUUCUUUCCAGUGGAUUAUCUUACUUGUUUCGAUGAUAUUAACAGCUACCAUUACCUGAAAGCCAGAAGUGUGCCUGCCAGGUGUUUUGCUGCUGUGUCUUUACAAACAUCAGCCUUCAGAAUGAAAUCAUGAGGUCGGUACCCAAGAGGAAAUCACUGCUUGGAAAUCACCGCUAUGCCUUUGUCGGGGGAGGGCAGAGUGCGGAGCAAGGCACAGACCACAAGGCAGGGCAGCCCUGAUCCCUGCAGCCCCACGACUGACAGGACCCUGCGACCCAAGGUCCCAGCACAUUCAGUAGCUCUGGGAGACCUCUGUUCUGGAAAGACCAAGGAAGCCUUGGUGCACACAGUGGUGCUGGCUGAUUUGAAGAAUGUAUAAGGUGCCACUUAUGCCCUUUCCCCAAUACUUUGGCCACCUGAUGCGAAGAACUGACUCAUUGGAAAAGACCCUGAUGCUGGGAGAGAUUGAAGGCUGGAGGAGAAGGGGACGACAGAGGAUGAGAUGGUUGGAUGGCAUCACUGACUUGAUGGACAUGAGUUUGAGCAAGCUCUGGGAAUUGGUGAUGGACA